CCGCGUGGGACUCCAGUAGGACACAGACUUCCAUCGAGUCGGGUCGACGCUCGAGUUCAUCCCUGAAUUAGAAACUUAUUUUUUGAAAAAGGAAAAAAAAAACUUUUGAGUUGAUUUACAUACAUCGAUGAAUCAAAUAACUUUUUCCCAGUGAUUUGUAAUUAUUCAAACAGUGCAUCUCGGAUUCCCGUGUAUUCAAUUAAGAAAACAAGACAUAAUUAUUCGUGCAUUGUUUCCGUGGAUCGUCUAGGAAAUUUCGAUCUCGGACUAUGAUUAAAGCAAUCACCUAGUUACGCAGACAUUGUCCAUCACUUGUGGCAGCGUGUUACGGAAUCUGCGAGAGACGAACGUCUUUCCUCGUAGGCCGAUCCUAAUCAGCAGCUCCUUUGAGUUAAUAAGAGUCUCCGGAUUGAGCGUCUUUCUUUUUAUUGUGUAUAGCCGAUUGCUGCUGACGACUGCCAUCCUUAACUGCACAAUAACAACUAAUAAUAGGCCUCAGUAUAUAUAUAUAUAUAUAUACGUAUACUGGGCACACACACACACACAGUUAGUUGUGCACGUCCUGUCGAAUGUUUCACCCAGUUGCCGAUGCCAACUCAUCGAUCUGUCCGGGCUAGUUGCACUAGUAACACCCACAGCAGCCGGAUCGCUGUUGACACGCACGAAAGGGCCCAGUCAUCGGGGCCAGUAUCGGCACCUAAAGUGCGUGACUAGAGGCGAAACUUGUACGUCCGUGUUGGAUUUCAACCACCAAUAAUAAAAAAAAACAAACUUCUUUAAUGUAAAAGAAAAAAAGGGCGGGAAAAUUUGAAAAAAAAAAAAAUCGAUUUUUGCAUUAAAACUCGAGUGAAAGUGACACACUGUGUUACUUUUAAAGAAAAGAAAAGAUCCUGUGACGGAAAUCCCCAUGACGGCUAGCUCAAAAGUCAAGAGGAUGCUGCCACAGCAAACGGAGGACGAUGGCCGGUCACGGUCCGAAAACGUGGCUGGACAUGACUGGCAGUCCCAUCGGAUUGGCUGUGCCACCCCAAGGAUGGCCGGAUCGAAUCGUGCUAUUAGACGUGACGAGUUGUCGGCGCAAGGUGAAACAGCUGGAAGUGUUUCUGGUGCAAAUAAAACAAGUGCGAACCCACAAGUCAAGCCACGAUUCGCGAUCUUUCGUCUUCUUCAUCCUGUCACCCCGCCGCUGCUGCUGGCCCUUUUCCUCUUGACGCUAAUGGCGUGUCGACCGUGUCACGGUCACGAUCCCGAGCUCUUCGACAUGGACGACGAGGAUGGAAACGGAGCCAUCGGCACCGACAUCGUUCAAAUUACAGGACCUUUGCAGCACGUCGUUAGUGUAGUCAAAGGUAAAACGAAUCUGCCGUGCGACAUAACGCCACCCGUCGAAGACGACCAGGCCAGUUUGGUUCUCUUCUAUAAAGACGACGCCAGUCCAUCCAUUUACACGUACGAUGCUCGAGAUAAGUACGCCAGCCGGCCUAGACAUUGGUCCGACGACAACGUGCUGGGCAAACGUGCGUUUUUCAGCACGGUCGUCCUUCAAAAUUCAUCAUCCGGCUGUCUGAUGAUCGAUAAUGUGCGCGAAUCAGAUGCUGGACUUUAUCGAUGUCGUGUCGAUUUCAAACGUUCGCCCACGCGCAACAGCCGAGUCAACCUCACCGUUGUCGUGCCGCCCAAACAGAUGAAGAUCACGAACGAAAAGGGCGUUGAUGUCGACGAUAUCAUUGGUCCAUUCGACGAAGAUGCAACGCUGAUCCUCGUCUGUAUCGUUACUGGAGGAAAUCCGACACCAGAAGUCACGUGGUGGCAAGAGGAAAGGAUGAUUGACCGUCACGCUGAAAUUCGCCAUUCGGAGCAGGGAGUGGCGCGCAAUGUCCUCCAACUGGAGCGGCUCGGUCGGGUCGACUUGCGCACCAAACUCUCGUGUCACGCGUCCAAUACGCAACUGUCUCAGCCAUUGACCAAAUCCGUCGAGAUCGAACUCAAUCUUAAACCGCUGGACGUCCGCAUUCUGAGCAGCAGGCAACCGCUAUCAUCGGGCAAAAAGUACGAGUUGACAUGUCAGACGGCCGGAUCGCGUCCGUCUCCCACGGUGACCUGGUGGAAAGAUGGCCAACUGCUACGCCGUUCUCAAGAGACUCCGUAUGAUGGUGGUAACGUUACGCUGAGCCAAUUAACCGUCCAACUAACACCCGAGGAUGAUGGCAAAAAACUCGUUUGCCGUGUGGAAAACCCCGUUCUGGGCCCGGCAUCUGCCAUCGAAGAUUCUUGGCUGCUCGACGUCUACUAUGUGCCUCGCGUUCAAUUGCAGCUCGGACGCAACCUGGAAAGCGAUCACAUCCGUGAAGGCAUCGACGUCUACUUUGACUGUCACGUCACGGCCCGUCCAUCAGCAGUUCGCCUCGUUUGGCGGCAUCAGGGCAACGUUUUACAACACAACGUUAGCGCCGGUGUGAUCAUCAGCGAAUCGAGUCUGGUUCUGCAGAGAGUGGCGCGCAGUUCGGCCGGUCGCUAUACGUGUCACGCCAGCAACGCCGAAGGCGAGGGAUCCAGCUCACCUUUCCACCUGCACGUUGCACACAAGCCGGUGUGUCGUCCGGAACAGAAGAAUUCGUACGGCGGUGCCAAGGGAUUGACGAGCGAAGUGGAAUGUCACGUCGAGUCGAAGCCGGGCGCUACGAGCUUCCGCUGGACGUUCAACGGCACUGGCGAACUGGUCGACUUGACGUCAGGAUACCGGACAACGGCCGACGGAUCAAUCUCCAUCCUGCGUUACACACCUCGCACUGAAAUGGAUUUCGGUACUCUACUCUGCUGGGCCGCCAACCCGCUCGGCAUCCAAUCACAGCCGUGCGUCUUCCAUUUUUACGCAGCCGGUGUUCCGGAUCCGCCCAGAAACUGUUCCAUCUCCAACCAGACUUUGUCGUCGUUCGAAAUCGAUUGCGCCGAAGGUUACGACGGUGGCAUCCCGCAGCACUUUAAGAUGCACGUUUUCGACAUGAAGACGCGAGCGUUGCUGGCCAAUUUGACCUCCUCCUCGCCCAGGUUUGCUCUCCACUUGGGCUCCGCUUCGGCGUCUCAAUCGGGAGCGACGGCCGGCGUGGGCGCUGAAGAAAACCCCAAGACUCACAGCUGGAAAUCGGGAUCUUCGUCCAACAACAUGAUCGCAAUCGAUGAAACUUCUUCGACCAACAACAACAACAAAACGGCCAGGCGGCACAGCAAUGGCGGCUCAGGGGCCGGCGUCUUCUUUGGCAGUAUCGCCGUCAUCCCGCCGGUGGGCACGUUACUGCAGGUGACGGCCGUGAACGCUCACGGCGUCAGCGAAUCGGUUUUCAUCGAGGCCACUCAGCAGGCUGUUGUCGGAUUGCUACCGGCCGAGAUGCAAGCUGCCGGCGCCGCGGGCGGUGGAGGCUUCUCCAAUUUCGAGAUGACCCCAACCCUGGGCAUCCUGGUUGGCAUCGUUGCCACCGGCGUCUUUAUGAUGGCCACCCUUAUAGCCGCGCUGCGCUUCCGUCAGCGCCGGAAUAAACCGAACGGACAGCAUUCGCAUCAGUCGACAUCUGUCAUCAAAGAUAAGGAUCGCGACAUGGACAGUUAUAACGGUAACGAGUACAUUGAGCUGGGCACUAAAGAUCCGGACGUCAUUACCAAGGAUAAACCAGGGACCGAAUCGAUGCCACACAUCAUCAGCAAUCCGCUUGAUUUGAUGGCUAAUGGGCGGACAUCGUCGAGCACGUUGACUCUUGCGUUGCGCGGAGACAGUCCCGCAGGAUCUUCUUCCGCCGUCCGAUCUAGUCAGGAGGAAGUGGUGUAUGCUGAACUGACGCUAUCUCGUCAUCGACCGACUCACCUGGCUAUGCCGACUGGCAAAUUGCCUGCAGGGACGAUGGACAAGACUGCCGCCACCACAGACGGAGUGGUCUACGCCCAGAUCGACCACACGAAGCGGAAGCAGCAGUCGAACAAACGAAUAAGGACCGAUGCGCCACCGCCACCAACAAAUCAACUCUCCACUUUUCAGCAGCCGUCCCAGUUGGUCGUUUUGCCGGAUGUCAGUCAAACCGUGACUACUGGCAAUAUUCGUGAAACAAUUUUAAUGUAACAUCGUAUAGAGCCAGUCGCCGUUAAACGGACCGCAUAAUAGUAGCGGUCGAAUUUGAGGAACGAAACACGGCAAGACACGUUGAAAGUUUGACAGAAAAUCGACCAUUCGAAUGGACUCGUCGGCGCAUUUUGCGUAUUGUUGUCAUUGUUGUUAUUGUUUGUAUGUACGCAUUCCUGUACACACACACACACACACAUACAGUACCAAGUACAUGUAUAUUUAAUUUUCGUGUCUACCAGACGAUAUUUUUUAAGUCCUUGCCUGUCCUGGACUGAUUAUGUUUGCUGUCUAUGUGUUUUGAUAUGAUUCAAUGCUUCAAAAAUGAUUCCGUUCGUAUACGGUCUAUAUAUAUAUUUAUAUAUAGAUAAAAUCUACUCCCCUAAAAUUCUCAUUUUCUUAUCGGCAUUCGAUGGCAUCGUCAUGAAACCUGUUUUCUCGUUUUGUUUUUAUUUAUUUUUUUUUGUAUUUGUAUUUGUUUUUCUUCUUUUUUUGUUGCGCAGUGGACAGCGAUGACCAUCGGCCAAGGUUAAGUUAACGUAUAUAGAAAAGAAUGAUUUGCUACGUGUCUUGGCAUAUACCGGUUUCAUCUCCUGCUUCCUGAUUUAUUUUUGCUGUUAUACAGGUAUGUGUAUAUUGGUUGUCAAUAUGGAUCCCUCGCCCUAGCCUAUUUUCAUGCGUCCAAAAUGAUGUUGCUAUUACAAUGACCGUCUCUCGUCCGACCCCCCCCCCUUUUUUGUCUGCAAGAAAAAAUACUCUUUGUCGAAGAGGGAAGAGUCAAUUUUGAAAACUCGUCCUAAAUUCUAUAAAAAAAUAUAUUCUGUUUUAUGUUUCGAAAAUUUGACGACGUCACAUUUCCGAGAGGAGGUGAAAAUGGGAAGGUAAUUCAAGCAAAGCGCCAAGUAUACCAAACCAAUUACGAAUUUAGUUUAUGUUAUACGCCAUCUACAGCUCGACAGUCAACUGUUGCAGACGGGGGAAAUUAGAUGUGAAUUCGAAGAAGCUUGAUUUAUAUUAGCACAUUUCCAUUUGUUAAUAACAACCAUCCCUUCAUUAUAUAGGAACGUAGAAAGCCAAUUUUCUGAUAGAGAUUGUGUAAUUUCCUCAACAUGAAUCUCUCUUGAUCAAUUACUUCACCACGAUUUAUUGACGUCCCAUAAUUUUAUACAUUUUUGAAAUACAGAAUUCUAUGCUCUCCUUA
rnacentral:misc_RNA from 1 species